CGACUGUAAUGGUCAUGUGGGUUAGAAGGCGCUUGCAAUUCUCGAAGGAUUAGAAUUCAAUUCCCAAUUCCGUCAGAUCCCCCAAGCCCUGCCCGCCGAGGACGCUGCGGGGGUUUCAUCCAUCCGCUUGGGCAACCAGUGUCGAUUGGGUGGUCCUAAGAAAUGGAGGACACACUUCAGGGAGGCUUCACUCUGCAGAGAACCUCCCCCGUCGCGUAGCUUGGUGGAACACGGCUGGCUUGGGGAACUUGGGCUAGUCCCUCGAGAUGGAGACUGUCAACUCCAAUU
rnacentral:SRP_RNA from 1 species